rnacentral:rRNA from 1 species
CCUACGGGAGGCAGCAGUGAGGAAUAUUGGUCAAUGGACGCAAGUCUGAACCAGCCAUGCCGCGUGCAGGAUGACGGCUCUAUGAGUUGUAAACUGCUUUUGUACGAGGGUAAACCCCGAUACGUGUAUGGGGUUGAAAGUAUCGUACGAAUAAGGAUCGGUUAACUCCGUGCCAGCAGCCGCGGUAAUACGGAGGCUCCGAGCGUUAUCCGGAUUUAUUGGGUUUAAAGGGUGCGUAGGCGGGUUGUUAAGUUAGUGGUGAAAGGUGGGGGCUAACCCCCGAAACUGCCUCUAAUACUGUUGGUCUAUAGCAUGGUUGCGGUAGGCGGAAUGUCUGGUGUAGCGGU